CCCCCCAUCUCCACCGCCACCACCUCCAUCCACCACCGCGGCUCUUUGUUAGCGGGGCCGUGCAGUGGAUGGAGCCUGACCCCCCCGGUGCCGUGAGCAGGCUUGAGCCGAUGUAAUAGCGCACUGCGCUAUCAAGCACGAGCCCCGGCCAGCCCCUGGCUUCCAUUGCUGCUGCUGCUGCUGCUACACGCGAUGAUAGGCGGGGACGCACGGAGGGGAGGGGUGAAAUGUUGCGACGCGAGCUGACAAACAGCGGUUGCAUCAAUCUGCAAACCGGCUCUCGCCUAGGUCUACUCGGCCUGCAAAUGAAUGCGUGGUGUGGUGAUGUUGUUGAUGGUGGUUGCUGUUUGCUAGCCGCUGUGUGCUAUGCAGACAAAAGGCAAAGAAAAAAAAUGGGGGCCCGGGGCGUGGUGCUGUUCAGAGGCGCCUCUUUGUCUAUCGCACUGCCCUUAAUAGGCGCUCGCCGAUGGCACCCCGCACACAACGUUGUCCCGUGUGUACGAUUCAAACAUUAUUAUGACGAUCUUUGUCGUCUAGGCACGCGAGCACUGCCGCUGAAGAGACUUGUCAGCCGCGAUAAAAAAAAAAUAUAUUUUAUCCACGAUCCCCGUGAACAUCAACAAUAUGACCAUCGGUUAUCAUCGGAGCGCGGACACCCCCUAGGUCGACUCAACCUCAAAUGUUGGUACGUGACGUACCUCCCGGGUGUCGUGGAUGCUGGACACGUGGCUCGUGGCUUGGCCGCUACGCAGCACAGUCUGCCUGUCCAUGGCCGUGCCGUAGGCGUCCUGCUCCUGGCUUCCCCUGUACAGCAGCUCCUGGAGACCUUCGGCGCGCAGUCCAAACUGCAAGGGCGGAUGGGCGGGAGGGUGGCAGAGGAGCAACGCAAAACAAAGUUGGGUGGCCCACAGGACGGGUGAGGAACGGGCAGAGAAAAAAAAUGGUCGAGGCUGCUGACACAAAUCAAUUAACAGUCUGGGUCUGCGCGUCGAGUCAAGGUUGGGCUCACGACGGAGGCGCACGGCGACCAUGCUGACCAGCGCCACGGACGGCUUCGACUCGAAGAAGACGAUGCAAGAGCGGAUCCGGAGCUCCGACUUGAUGGCCUCGUUCAGGAAGAUGGGCAGCACGAUCU